rnacentral:rRNA from 1 species
UACGGAGACUGCAAGCGUUACUCGGAUUUACUGGGCGUAAAGGGUCCGCAGGCGGCUAUGUGUGUCAGGUGUGAAAUCCUACAGCUCAACUGUAGAACUGCGCCUGAAACUACAUGGCUAGAGGCUCGGAGAGGGUAGUGGAAUUCCAGGUGUAGCGGUGAAAUGCGUAGAUAUCUGGAGGAACACCAACGGCGAAGGCAGCUACCUGGACGAGUUCUGACGCUCAUGGACGAAAGCGUGGGGAG